rfam:Caloranaerobacter azorensis H53214 contig6, whole genome shotgun sequence.
AUGUCCUUUAAAUCUACCCUGAGAGGUUGAUAAGGAUUUACAAUUUUUUUAUGAGAGGGUAUUGUAACUUCUUAUCAACCAGAUAAGAAGUUUUUUUGU